GGGAUAACUAAGUCGAACUUUGGCUAAUACCGCAUACGAACUACGGGGGAAAGGGGGGGAUCGCAAGACCUCUCACUAUUGGAGCGGCCGAUAUCGGAUUAGCUAGUUGGUGGGGUAAAGGCUCACCAAGGCAACGAUCCGUAGCUGGUUUGAGAGGACGACCAGCCACACUGGGACUGAGACACGGCCCAGACUCCUACGGGAGGCAGCAGUGGGGAAUUUUGGACAAUGGGGGAAACCCUGAUCCAGCCAUCCCGCGUGUAUGAUGAAGGCCUUCGGGUUGUAAAGUACUUUUGGCAGAGAAGAAAAGGUAUCCCCUAAUACGGGAUACUGCUGACGGUAUCUGCAGAAUAAGCACCGGCUAACUACGUGCCAGCAGCCGCGGUAAUACGUAGGGUGCAAGCGUUAAUCGGAAUUACUGGGCGUAAAGCGUGUGUAGGCGGUUCGGAAUACGCCCUACUCCAGCCAUACGAUCCGUAGACCAGGCGCCUGGCACGGGAGCACCGGCUGGUCGUACGUAAAGAACGCUCGAAACGGUAUCAACCCAGACGGAAGCAGUGCGGAAUUUUGGACCCUGAGGCGAA
rnacentral:rRNA from 1 species